rnacentral:rRNA from 1 species
GAAAUUUCAUUCGCACUAGUGAUAGCUAGUUUCCUCGAAAAGAUAUAAAAGUGUGGGGAAAAAUAUAAUUUAUAAUAUGAAUUAUUAUAUAUAUAUGUAUUUUACUAAUUUUUUUGAGGAUAAGCUCAAAAAAAAGUUAAGGAUUAUUCUUAAUUAAGUUUGCUAUAUGGGCUUAAAAUUGGCCGCUAUAAAAGUUUUUUAUAAAAUAGUAACUUUAGCCUUAUAGAUAAAUAUAAUUUAAACUAACUUUUUUACGGGGAUAAAAACUUUAAUUUAAAAAAGUUUUAUGCCUAUGCUAGGAUGAGUAUUAAAACUUAAUUAUAGAAGAUUUAUUUGUAUCUUCUUUAAAAAUAAUUAAAAAAAUUAAUUAAUUAGAAGGAAUUCGGCAAAUUUAGUUGUUUCGCCUGUUUAUCAAAAACAUGGCUCUUUGAUUAUAUAAAUAUAAAGAGUCGGCCUGCCC